GGCAAAAGCUCAAAUUUGAAAUCUGGCACCUUCGGUGUCCGAGUUGUAAUUUGAAGAUUGUAACCUUGGGGUUGGCUCUUGUCUAUGUUUCUUGGAACAGGACGUCACAGAGGGUGAGAAUCCCGUGCGAUGAGAUGCCCAAUCCUAUGUAAGGUGCUUUCGAAGAGUCGAGUUGUUUGGGAAUGCAGCUCUAAGUGGGUGGUAAAUUCCAUCUAAAGCUAAAUAUUGGCGAGAGACCGAUAGCGAACAAGUACAGUGAUGGAAAGAUGAAAAGAACUUUGAAAAGAGAGUGAAAAAGUACGUGAAAUUGUUGAAAGGGAAGGGUUUGAGAUCAGACUCGAUAUUUUGUGAGCCUUGCCUUCGUGGCGGGGUGACCCGCAGCUUAUCGGGCCAGCAUCGGUUUGGGCGGUAGGAUAAUGGCGUAGGAAUGUGACUUUGCUUCGGUGAAGUGUUAUAGCCUGCGUUGAUGCUGCCUGCCUAGACCGAGGACUGCGAUUUUAUCAAGGAUGCUGGCAUAAUGAUC
rnacentral:rRNA from 1 species